rnacentral:rRNA from 1 species
UCAGCGACUUAUAUUCUGUAGCAAGGUUAACCGUAUAGGGGAGCCGGAGGGAAACCGAGUCUUAACCGGGCGUUAAGUUGCAGGGUAUAGACCCGAAACCCGGUGAUCUAGCCAUGGGCAGGUUGAAGGUUGGGUAACACUAACUGGAGGACCGAACCGACUAAUGUUGAAAAAUUAGCGGAUGACCUGUGGCUGGGGGUGAAAGGCCAAUCAAACCGGGAGAUAGCUGGUUCUCCCCGAAAGCUAUUUAGGUAGCGCCUCGUGAAUUCAUCUCCGGGGGUAGAGCACUGUUUCGGCUAGGGGGCCAUCCCGGCUUACCAACCCGAUGCAAACUGCGAAUACCGGAGAAUGUUAUCACGGGAGACACACGGCGGGUGCUAACGUCCGUCGUGAAGAGGGAAACAACCCAGACCGCCAGCUAAGGUCCCAAAGUCAUGGUUAAGUGGGAAACGAUGUGGGAAGGCCCAGACAGCCAGGAUGUUGGCUUAGAAGCAGCCAUCAUUUAAAGAAAGCGUAAUAGCUCACUGGUCGAGUCGGCCUGCGCGGAAGAUGUAACGGGGCUAAACCAUGCACCGAAGCUGCGGCAGCGAACGUAUCACCCAAGACAACUUUACGGAGUUGACGAUUGACGGAGCGAAGCGACGUCAAAGCGUUCAUUAAAGUCGAGUUGGCUUAGGGAUACGUUCGUUGGGUAGGGGAGCGUUCUGUAAGCCUGUGAAGGUGUGUCGUGAGGCAUGCUGGAGGUAUCAGAAGUGCGAAUGCUGACAUAAGUAACGAUAAAGCGGGUGAAAAGCCCGCUCGCCGGAAGACCAAGGGUUCCUGUCCAACGUUAAUCGGGGCAGGGUGAGUCGACCCCUAAGGCGAGGCCGAAAGGCGUAGUCGAUGGGAAACGGGUUAAUAUUCCCGUACUUGGUGUUACUGCGAAGGGGGGACGGAGAAGGCUAUGUUGGCCGGGCGACGGUUGUCCCGGUUUAAGCGUGUAGGUGUGUGUUCCAGGUAAAUCCGGUU